rnacentral:rRNA from 1 species
AGAGUUUGAUCAUGGCUCAGAUUGAACGCUGGCGGAAUGCUUUACACAUGCAAGUCGAACGGCAGCACGGAGAGCUUGCUCUCUGGUGGCGAGUGGCGAACGGGUGAGUAAUAUAUCGGAACGUGUCCAAUAAUGGGGGAUAACGAGUCGAAAGAUUCGCUAAUACCGCAUACGCCCUACGGGGGAAAGCAGGGGAUCGUAAGACCUUGCGUUAAUGGAGCGGCCGAUAUCUGAUUAGCUAGUUGGUGAGGUAAAGGCUCACCAAGGCGACGAUCAGUAGCUGGUUUGAGAGAACGACCAGCCACACUGGAACUGAGACACGGUCCAGACUCCUACGGGAGGCAGCAGUGGGGAAUUUUGGACAAUGGGGGCAACCCUGAUCCAGCCAUUCCGCGUGAGUGAAGAAGGCCUUCGGGUUGUAAAGCUCUUUCGCAAGGGAAGAAAACUUAUGAUCGAAUAAAUCAUGAGGUUGACGGUACCUUGAUAAGAAGCACCGGCUAACUACGUGCCAGCAGCCGCGGUAAUACGUAGGGUGCGAGCGUUAAUCGGAAUUACUGGGCGUAAAGCGUGCGCAGGCGGUUUUGUAAGUCGGAUGUGAAAUCCCCGGGCUCAACCUGGGAACUGCGUUCGAAACUGCAAGGCUAGAGUGUGUCAGAGGGGGGGUAGAAUUCCACGUGUAGCAGUGAAAUGCGUAGAGAUGUGGAGGAAUACCAAUGGCGAAGGCAGCCCCCUGGGAUAACACUGACGCUCAUGCACGAAAGCGUGGGGAGCAAACAGGAUUAGAUACCCUGGUAGUCCACGCCCUAAACGAUGUCAACUAGUUGUUGGUAGAGUAAAAUCUAUGAGUAACGUAGCUAACGCGUGAAGUUGACCGCCUGGGGAGUACGGUCGCAAGAUUAAAACUCAAAGGAAUUGACGGGGGCCCGCACAAGCGGUGGAUUAUGUGGAUUAAUUCGAUGCAACGCGAAAAAUCUUACCUGGCCUUGACAUGUACCGAAUUGAGCAGAGAUGUUCAAGUGCUCGAAAGAGAACGGUAACACAGGUGCUGCAUGGCUGUCGUCAGCUCGUGUCGUGAGAUGUUGGGUUAAGUCCCGCAACGAGCGCAACCCUUGCCAUUAAUUGCCAUCAUUUAGUUGGGCACUUUAAUGGGACUGCCGGUGACAAACCGGAGGAAGGUGGGGAUGACGUCAAGUCCUCAUGGCCCUUAUGGCCAGGGCUCCACACGUAAUACAAUGGUCGGUACAAAGGGUUGCCAACCCGCGAGGGGGAGCCAAUCCCAGAAAGCCGAUCGUAGUCCGGAUUGUAGUCUGCAACUCGACUGCAUGAAGUCGGAAUCGCUAGUAAUCGCGGAUCAGCAUGUCGCGGUGAAUACGUUCCCGGGCCUUGUACACACCGCCCGUCACACCAUGGGAGUGGGUUUUACCAGAAGUAGUUAGUCUAACCGUAAGGGAGACGAUUACCACGGUAGGAUUCAUGACUGGGGUGAAGUCGUAACGAAGGUAACCG